GACGAACGCUGGCGGCGUGCCUAACACAUGCAAGUCGAGCGAAUGAAGUUCCUUCGGGAAUGGAUUUAGCGGCGGACGGGUGGGUAACACGUGGGCAACCUGCCUCAUAGAGGGGAAUAGCCUCCCGAAAGGGAGAUUAAUACCGCAUGAGAUUGUAGUACCGCAUGAUACAGCAAUUAAAGGAGCAAUCCUCUAUGAGAUGGGUCCGCGGCGCAUUACCUAGUUGGCGAGGUAAUGGCUCACCAAGGCGACGAGGUGUAGCCGACAUGAGAGGGUGAUCGGCCACAUUAGGACAGGGACACGGACCAGACUCCUACGGGAGGGAGCAGGGGGGAAGAAUGCACAAUGGGGGAAAGCCUAAUGCAGCAACGCCGCGUGAGUGAUGACGGCCUGCAGGUUGUAAAGCUAUGUAUUCAGGGACGAUAAUGACGGUACCUGAGGAGGAAGCAACGGUUAACUACGU
rnacentral:rRNA from 1 species